AUUGAACGCUGGCGGCAGGCCUAACACAUGCAAGUCGAACGGUAACAGGAAGCAGCUUGCUGCUUCGCUGACGAGUGGCGGACGGGUGAGUAAUGUCUGGGAAACUGCCUGAUGGAGGGGGAUAACUACUGGAAACGGUAGCUAAUACCGCAUAACGUCGCAAGACCAAAGAGGGGGACCUUAGGGCCUCUUGCCAUCGGAUGUGCCCAGAUGGGAUUAGCUAGUAGGUGGGGUAACGGCUCACCUAGGCGACGAUCCCUAGCUGGUCUGAGAGGAUGACCAGCCACACUGGAACUGAGACACGGUCCAGACUCCUACGGGAGGCAGCAGUGGGGAAUAUUGCACAAUGGGCGCAAGCCUGAUGCAGCCAUGCCGCGUGUAUGAAGAAGGCCUUCGGGUUGUAAAGUACUUUCAGCGGGGAGGAAGGGAGUAAAGUUAAUACCUUCGCUCAUUGACGUUACCCGCAGAAGAAGCACCGGCUAACUCCGUG
rnacentral:rRNA from 1 species